UACGUAGGGUGCAGGCGUUAAUCGGAAUUACUGGGCGUAAAGCGUGCGCAGGCGGUUUGCUAAGACAGGUGUGAAAUCCCCGGGCUUAACCUGGGAACUGCGCUUGUUACUGGCAGGCUUGAGUGUGGCAGAGGGGGGGUGGAAUUCCACGUGUAGCAGUGAAAUGCGUAGAGAUGUGGAGGAACACCGAUGGCGAAGGGCAGCCCCCUGGGCUAACACUGACGCUCAUGCACGAAAGCGUGGGGAGCAAACAGG
rnacentral:rRNA from 1 species